GCCCCCGUCGUCUAGUGGCCUAGGACGCCGCCCUUUCAAGGCGGAGGUCAGGGGUUCGAAUCCCCUCGGGGGCA
rnacentral:tRNA from 2 species